AUCCGUCGAUUUUAGAAAUCGUGAGGGUUCAAGUC
rnacentral:tRNA from 2 species